AGAGAAAACUUUAUCAGAUGGGUUUUGAGAUGAGGAAAUUGCUUUGUAGAGCUGACCAGCAGGCGAUAAAACCUAGUCACUAUAAAAAGACAGAGUUUAUAGUUUACAUAAAAAGACAACAGCCCCUGCAGCAAGAGGGCUUUGCUCAAGGGCACAACAGCAUUAGUUAGAACAGCAUUUAUUCUGAGUCGCUGUGCAGAUAUUCCUGACUCGUCCAAGGAUUCAUAACAGAAACCGCCCUGUCACAACCCGACUCCUCAAACCUUUUUGGCCACGGACACAAAGUCAAAGUCGUGAAGCUCCACCACCACCUCCGAGUCAGCUGCUCUUGGACAAAUUUCAAGUCUGUCACUUGUGAUUUAGGGAUGCACCGGUACUUUGUUUGAGUGUGAGAACUGUUGUUGCUAUUCAAUAUUUAUGUUGUUGUUCCUAUUGAAUAUUUCUGUUUCUGCUGUAACUGGGAGUCUUCGGAGAAACCCUGGAGAGUGUUCACUGUGUUUGGGUUCAUCCGGUUCCCAUAAAAGAGAGCGCUCAACACACAGGGUGAUGCAGAGCUACAUCUAAUCACACAUGUAAAAUAAUAAUAAUAUUAUAAUGAUACUGGAAACUGUCAAUAUAAAAAAAGACAUUUUGGCAUUGCUGACAGGUGCAGCAGGAACGACUGAGGUUUAACAUAAGUUUGUUCCUCACUUAAUAACUCACACGAGUCACUGCUCCAUUCAUUGUCUAUGAGGCAGUGCCAGAUUUAAUAUCCCAGUGACAUCAAGAAUUCAGGGGUCAGUUCUCCUGUUAAGCUUUAGGGAAGGAGUGGAGUAUUUCUAUUUGUAUUGACCAAACUGUCCCAUGGCACAGAUGUGAAUUAAUUUAAGCAGCAGUGGGUUGAAAGCAAAGAAGGUGGAUUUUACACUUUUACACUGCAAGAACAAAAAAAUGAGCCCACCUACAAUUAUGAGAUCACAUAAUGCAGAAUAACUCUCUUUAUCUCCGUGCACAUAAAACAGAACAUCCCAAAAAGAUCAUUUAAAUGUAUUUUCUAUUCAUUUUCUAACUGUAGAGUACUUCUAGGAUUGCUGGUAGUGUCUUAUUGUUGAGCAUUGUGCGAAGAAAAGUUGUUAUCAGUGAGAAACUGCCACAUGGUAACCACCAAUAAGAUUUGAAAUCCAAUCCAAUUAGUUUCACACUGUCAUCACACCCACACACACACACACAUCACAACAAUGCUAUUACUGACACAAGCUGAAAAAAUUAAUUGAUUAGUCACCUGACAGAAAAUGAAUCUGCAAUCUACCCAUGUUAAUCCCAGUCAUCCUUUUCUAAUCCAUAUUUUUAAGAGUAAGAUUAACCUGCGAUUGAACCUUCAACUAGGAGAAAACGAACAGCUUUCCUCUUGUGGCUGUCUCUGAUAGGAUAUGUUUUUGCAGCCAUAUAAAGCCAACUAGUUCCCUUUACGCUGUACAUUAUAAGGAACAAUGAAAGCGCGACACAGCCCUCAGCUGAAGUUGUCCCCAUGGAGAAAGUGCAGAUAGAUCAACCUCUGCUUCUCCCUGCCCACUGGGUUUGGGCCUAUUGUCAUGACCUUGCUUAUUCACAAAUGCUUCCAACAUCAUGUCAGAGCAAACAGUGCAACAGAGCGGCUCUGAAUACCUCAGACACACUCUCUCAUUAUUCUUUCUCCUCCUCCUCCGCUUCCUCCCCCCAUCUCCGCCCCAUUUCUCUCUUUCAGCUGAGGAACAUGAUUAAUGUGCACCUUGCCACUGGUGGUUUUUCUAAUUGCCAGCACACCGGCCCAGUCAGCGCAAUGUGCACGCACACACACACACACGCACGCACAAACACAUCACACAUACACAAGCCAUAUGUGUGUGAAAAAUGCACACAAAGGAAAAGGUAUGCAAAAAAAACACAAUAUACACACAGAUGUGUGAACAAAAGGAAGUCCACACACAAAUGCACACACACACACACACACCUAUAUAUAUAUGUGUGUAUGUGUGCUUGCGCAUACAUCCACCCCCACACACACACCCACACACUCGCAAACUAGGGAGGGAGUGCGGCUGGGGCAGGUGCUUGCCAUUUCUCAACACAUUAAUCAUCCUCCUUUAAAUAACCUGAGUGUCGUCUUGACGGUUUGAGACUGUGAGGAUGCUGCAGUGCUGUUGCCUGACGACGGCACGGUCCCCGUCACCGCAUCUUUCUAAUGUUAUCUCUGAAACCCACAAGCCCCAAAGUGUCAGGAAAUGGGCUCCCCUACCUCCCGAACUGGCUGCGGUGAUUUGAUGGCUUUGACCUCUGCACAGUGAUGUGUUGUGUGGCCCCCGUGUCUAACCCCAAUCUUCCAGCCCUGUUAAGGUUCUCUUCUGAGGAUUGGACCUGGAGUGCACCACGGUCAGUGGGAAAACUGCUCAGAGGCUGGACACUGCACAAAAGGCUGCCUUGAGGGGUGCUACUGUAAUGCUCAGGACUAGGUUCUCACACACAGUUAUGGGUUCAGAGUGCGGUUUUGCUGAAUACUGUGAAUGUGCUUAAAACCAAAACAAAGUAGCCUUUAGCAGAAAAGGUUUUGGUUGGAGAUUUUUUCCUUCCAUGACUUUAAAAGGAAAAGUUUUCACUCUUGCUAUAUGGGUCAAUCCAAUACUAGUGUUUCACUUAUGUAUUUUUUCCUGACGCUUCAGCACACCGCUCUGCACACCUUAAAGCUCUUAAAUUAUAUUCUUUGCAGUGGUGCUUAAAAUAUAAAAACACACACACACAAAAGUUUUGUACUUAAAGUACUUUGACAAUAGUUACACACAACCCAGCUGUUUUUUUUUUUUGUUUUUGUUUUUGUCUUUUUGCAUCUAUUUCUGUUUUUCACUGUAUAAUUUUAAUAAUGUUUCACUAUGGGGUGAAAUUUACAUUAACUACAGUGUUAUAAAAUGUAUUCAAUCAUAUCCAUACAUUAGAAAUUAGUGAUAUAUAUGGAAAUAACCUCAUUAGAAAAGAAAACAUUUUUAUAACAAUGUUUACUUGUGACAUGCUAAAAUGUAUUGUUACAGUAGCACUAGCAAAGACUACUUCAGUGAUAUCAGUUAUACAAAUAAAUAUUUAAAGUUUGCUGAUAUUAGCUACCAUAAGCUAGCACCAAUUAAGACUGCAGCAGAAAAACCCCUGAGUGAACUGGGGUGAGCUUUAUUGCUCAAUUUUUCAUUGGUAAGAAGAAUUUGUUAUUUUUUCUUUUAAAGGUUACAUAGUCUGGCUUUAAAUUUGAAAUAUGAGAUAAGAUGAGAUAAGAUAAGUGCAGGAUUUCAGGAAUAUUGUGUACGAAAACCUGCAUGAAGCAGCAGAACCCACUAAUCUGUGCAUGUUCCUUUAUGAUCUGUAGGUGUGAAUAUGGCUACACUCUUCCAUUAUGUUCCUUGACUCCUCCUUGUGUUACAUUUAAUUAUAAUCUUUGAACUCCUGUAUCUAUUACUGUGGGAUGUGAACAUAAAUAUGUAUGAAUGUAUGUUGUGUUUGGCUCUAAUGAUGCAUUUACUCUGACGUUUCUUGAAAUGAUAAAUUAAAUGAACAUAUUAAAGGAACAUAUUUUUCAUGUUAUAAUACUUGUUAUAAGUGUUUCCCACCUGCAUAAUUCCUCUCUCUAAAACCUCUUCUUUAUAUCCUGGAUGAACACUAUCCAAGUAAUAGAAAGUGGGCUAUUAAGGCUACGGGUUACUGAUGGUGAGUAAAAUUACAUUUUUCAUGCUGUAUAAUAGAACAAAUCUCUUGCCUCAUUCAUAACAUAAAAAUAUAAUACCCCGUUACAUCAAAAACCUAUAACAAAUUUCAUGCUUAAUUAGGAGGAAAUGCAAUUCAGAGCACCAAGUACAGUAAAUACCACAACUGAGCUCACUGAAGAUGUAGGAGAGAUAUGGCCUUAGUAUGUGUGAUUCAUUUUGCUGAAACUGAUCUGAAGUUACACAAUGUUUAACUCUGCCAAUGGCUCAUAAUAUCACUAGCUACUAUAUGGCAACUGGUACACAGACAAGCUGUGCACUGCCUGUGAUGUUUAACACUACUGCCAUCAAGCUAAAGGCAAAUGAGUUUCUGCUGUAAGUAUUAAUGAGAAUGGGUAAACAUUAUGUAACACUGACCAGUAGCUGUCUGGUGCAGGUUUUAAUGACAGUGAUGAAAAUGGGAUUUUGUUGUAUCAACAGAUCAUGGUAAAUUACUUCCAAAAAUCAGCAAACGCUGCAAGUGACAGAACCAUGGAGCAUUAAAGCUGCUGAACACCAGCUUUCACACUGAUGUGUGUACUGAAUCCCCUUCUGUCGGCAUUAAAGGGGCACACUGCUGAUUUCACAUAUGAAGAUCACAUCAAUUCAGUCAUGAGUACUACUCAGUACGUGAAAAAAAGUUAGUGGCCUCAGAGGGAGCUUUGUAAAGUGUGAAAAAACGACCCUGAUGAUGUCUUCAGGGUUGCAAAUCCCCCCCGUGGGAUUAAUAAAGUUCAUCUCAUCUCAGCAUAAGCUUGGGGACAACAAAUUAAUAAACCCUGGUGGUACUGAGUUGAAAAGACAGUGCCACAUAUUUAUCAGGAAAAACCCAUGAUGUUGCCUUAUGGGAAAUGUAGGAGUCAGUGUUUUUGGAGUUCAACACAUACUACACUAAAGGUCAGGAUAUUUCACGCUUAAGAUCUUUUCACACUGGGGGUAUUUUUUCAUGUGGUUCAUUCACAUGUCAAUUUAUUUUUUUUACACUGGUUGUUUUUGUUAUGACUACUUUUACACACAGAAUGUGAAUAUUACAUGGCAAAAAAGCAAUGUAAUUUUUUUUCUGAGCUUUCGUGCCACGAAUAAAGGCAUCACCCCACACAGACCGUCAGAGUCUGCUCUAGGCUGAGGAAUCCUAGUAGUUGGUCCACUGCCUCCUCAGAUGUGGCGCUCGCAUCUGCAGCACCACCUCAAACUGUCCCACCAACAUCCUAAAAAUAUGUCUGCAACCGGCCGUGGUGGAGCUUCAGCUCCUGUAUAUUCACAAGCGAGUAUUUUGCACCGUAUAUUUGUGUCGUGCUGUUUGUGAAAAGACCUUCAGAGGCAAAUAUGAUCAGUUUAACUAUGUUUAGUUAACUACUAUAAUUAUUAUUUUUUACUAUCACUGUUAGCACCGAUAUACCAAGACAAAUUCCUUGUAUGUGCAAACUUACUUGGCAAUAAAGUCUGAUUCUGAUUCUGAUUCUAAAGGGUACAAUAAAUAAGAUUUCUCUGCCACUGAAUGUGGUUUAAGGUUUUGAAAAAACACAUAUGAUUUGAAACCAGUGUUCCAGGUUUUCUAAUACUGUGCUCUUUAGUGAUGUUUAUCGAGCCUCCUUUAAAAGUUGUUGUACGUGAUUCAUCUUACGAGGACAGAAUUUCAGCAGGGACUAGAUGGAAAUGAGGUCAAUUGUACUCCCAGUGCUGCUAAAUGACUUUAUGGUACCACUCCAUAUACACCCUGUGUAUUAUGAACAAUACUUAUGUGCCAGGACAAAUGUUGCGUAAAUACAUCAACGUGUAUGUGCACAGAGGACAAACUCCAUCUCUGGAAUGGACCUCUCUCAGUAAUUUGACCAUCACAGGGAGAGACAACACGGCCUGCUUAUUGAUCCCCUCUUGCAUCAGCAGAGCAGGCCUUAUUCAAUAAAAGCACGGGCAGUCACUAACAAAAAUAUUUCGGACAAAUCAGAGCAGGUUGGACAUGCGCUGCAUCACAUGCUGCAGUCAACACCUUAAUGGAAGUGCCCAAGAGCUCUUAAUGGAUGUACUUUUACUCCAAACUGAUGGGGUUUUGUUCCAUAUCUGGAGAAGCAGUGCCCGCGCUGCUCUUACUGUCACAUUGAUGCCAAUUGACUGAGGUAGCUGUCCACACGGUGCAGCGAGAGCCAAUUGACUUCUGACCCACCCGUGUAACAAAGCAGAGCCUCCCAGUGUUCCUGGAUCAAUAUGGCCGCUCCGCAUCACAGCAGCGGUGCUCAGAUUGGCUCCCCCUGUGCUGACCUUCCAGAGAACCCAAGCAUUCAUUGACUGGUCGGGGAGGAGGAAAUGGGCAAGUCCUGGCCUGUUCCUGCAGUUAAUGCUCACCACAACCAAACACUUACAGACUUAAGGGCAACUAUGAAACUUCCAUUGGACUGGUAAUUGUUUUCUAAGAUAUAACCUGGACUCUAUCUGACCUUCUGAAUUUAGAAUAUAUUCACAUACACUCUUGACUUUUUUCUUGCUUCUUAAGCCAUAAUAAUGUGUGGUAGCUUGUUUGGAAAUCACAUUUGUCCCAUUGCACUAUAGAGGUGGGGUGGGGCUGCCCACUUUAAAGCUCCAUUAGGCAAAUUAUCUUUGUAAAAAUGCUAUCACACACUGAUGCAGCAAUAGAGAGAAGAAUACUGUACUGGUGAUUUGCUGUGUGUGCCCCGAUGAAUUUCUGUUAAGUGUGGACAUGAGCUGAACAUCUUCAUUAUCAGUAAGUGAAAAUUGAAAAAUAAAAUCAUAUUGGUGACUGGCAGAACUUUUGAAGCUCUGAACUCUGUCAGUGCUGCAUCACAAACUGAGGGGUUGGUAUGUCAAGUAUGAGUGCAUUUUACCUAGCCUAUUAAAGGUGCUAUAUAUACGUUUUUGCUAUCGCUACAUAGCCAGUGUUGUUGGUUUACUUACCAAGAGCUUCAGCCGUGUUGUGUUUGCAAGACAAGAGGUCAGAAUAUGCCUUCUGCGCAGCACUAUUUCUUCAUCCUCUCAUGUUGGAUGGAGGCCAAAUGGACACUACAAUGACUCACUAUCACAAAAUGGUAUUACAAAACGGGACGGGCUAACUGGUUAGCACGCUAACUUCAGUAGAAGAAAAGUGAUGGGAACAGAAGUAAAACAAGAGCUGAUUUCCAUUGUUUGAGACUGCUCUUGGCGAGGAAAAGAAUGAAAUUUGAAGCUUAACUUGACGGUACUUCUAGACUGGUAAGUAAACAGCUUAAUGCCAAUAUUAGCUUUGUAGUGAUAGUUAAAACAUACAUAUAGCAUCAGUGAAGUUGCCUUCUAUGUAAACACAUAAAGCUAUGUUUACAUGAACUGUUUCUCAUAUAUAGCGCAUUGUGAGAGCAUCACUGAAACCUAAUAAACACGUUCAAUGAAGAGUAAAAUGUAAAGAAUGUGGAGUAAAGAUUCUGCUUGUAUUCUUCUAUGACAUGCUCAAACAAUAGAUCUGGGUUGAAAGCAUCUUCAUAGCAAUAAAUCAAUAUUUACACA